rnacentral:rRNA from 1 species
UACGUAGGGGGCGAGCGUUGUCCGGAUUUAUUGGGCGUAAAGAGCUCGUAGGCGGUUCGGCAAGUCAAGAUGUAAAAACUCCAGGCUCAACUUGGAGAGGCCAUCUGAUACUGCCGUGACUAGAGUCCGGUAGAGGAGCACGGAAUUCCUGGUGUAGCGGUGAAAUGCGCAGAUAUCAGGAGGAACACCAGCGGCGAAGGCGGUGCUCUGGGCCGGAACUGACGCUGAGGAGCGAAAGCGUGGGGAGCGAACAGG